rnacentral:rRNA from 1 species
UUAAACUGAAGAGUUUGAUCAUGGCUCAGAUUGAACGCUGGCGGCAGGCCUAACACAUGCAAGUCGAGCGGAAACGAUCCUAGCUUGCUAGGAGGCGUCGAGCGGCGGACGGGUGAGUAACGCAUAGGAAUCUGCCCGGUAGUGGGGGAUAACCUGGGGAAACCCAGGCUAAUACCGCAUACGUCCUACGGGGGAAAGCAGGGGCUCUUCGGACCUUGCGCUAUCGGAUGAGCCUAUGUCGGAUUAGCUGGUUGGUGAGGUAAUGGCUCACCAAGGCGACGAUCCGUAGCUGGUCUGAGAGGAUGAUCAGCCACAUCGGGACUGAGACACGGCCCGAACUCCUACGGGAGGCAGCAGUGGGGAAUAUUGGACAAUGGGCGCAAGCCUGAUCCAGCCAUGCCGCGUGUGUGAAGAAGGCCUUCGGGUUGUAAAGCACUUUCAGUGGGGAAGAAAUCCUCGGGGCUAAUACCCUCGAGGGAGGACAUCACCCACAGAAGAAGCACCGGCUAACUCCGUGCCAGCAGCCGCGGUAAUACGGAG